AAUAUUGCACAAUGGGGGAAACCCUGAUGCAGCGACGCCGCGUGAGCGAAGAAGGCCUUCGGGUCGUAAAGCUCUGUCCUAAGGGAAGAAACGGACGGUACCUUAGGAGGAAGCCCCGGCUAACUACGUGCCAGCAGCCGCGGUAAUACGUAGGUGGCAAGCGUUGUCCGGAUUUAUUGGGCGUAAAGCGCGCGCAGGCGGUCUUUAUAAGUCUGAUGUGAAAGACCACAGCUUAACUGUGGGGUUGCAUUUGAAACUAGAAGGCUUGAGUAUCGGAGAGGGUAGUGGAAUUCCUAGUGUAGCGGUGAAAUGCGUAGAUAUUAGGAGGAACACCAGUGGCGAAGGCGACUACCUGGACGAAAACUGACGCUGAGGCACGAAAGCUAGGUUAGCAAACA
rnacentral:rRNA from 1 species